GAUGAACGCUAGCGGCAGGCUUAACACAUGCAAGUCGAGGGGUAUAAGUCUUCGGAUUUAGAGACCGGCGCACGGGUGCGUAACGCGUAUGCAAUCUACCUUUUACAGUGGGAUAGUCCAGAGAAAUUUGGAUUAAUACCGCAUAGUAUUAUGAAAUGGCAUCAUUUUAUAAUUAAAGUCACAACGGUAAAAGAUGAGCAUGCGUCCCAUUAGCUAGAUGGUAAGGUAACGGCUUACCAUGGCUACGAUGGGUAGGGGUCCUGAGAGGGAGAUCCCCCACACUGGUACUGAGACACGGACCAGACUCCUACGGGUGGCUG
rnacentral:rRNA from 1 species